GAAAUAAUGGUAUAGUGGUAGAGUGCGCGUCUAUGAACCGUGAGACGCAAGUUCAAUUCUUGGUUAAGUCAUUUUGAUUCA
rnacentral:tRNA from 1 species